GCAGUGGAGCUGUGUAGUAUUGCCUUAGUUGUGUUUUAUCUUGUGUCAUGAGUAUACUGUGAGAUUUCAGUAAGGAAUGCUGUAAAGAAGACGAACGGCGAGAAAAAUUUAACUUACAUCGUUUCUACAAUUUACCUGAACAGGUGCUUCGCGUUGUGUAUAGUGCGAAACAGCAACCUUUGCCUUACUUUCAACUGGCUAUUGUCGAGGUUUUUAUUUGAAUUAUACUGAGGACUUCAGGCAUAGCCUACUACACAAGAAAUGGAAGAAGAUGAUAAUGGAUGAGACUGGGGUGAAUACUUUUCAGCAAAUAAUGGCAAUGCAUCGUGAAUCAUUUCGCAACUGAUACAGACUACUGCCUGCAUUGGAACUAUUCGUGUUUUGUGAAACAGCCAGUCAAUCCUCAGUGCAAGAGUCAACUUUAUCCCAUUGCAGUACCUCAGACUGAGUGAAUCAGAGUUGUUCACCUUGGUGUAUUGGCCUUGACUGAGCUAGUUCACAAAAAUGCCAUAGAGGGGGCUUGAAAUGGUUUUUCCCCACCAUUUCCGUAAGGAACCAAUAAGAAUGCAGGAUUCACCCUCUCACUCACCUGAAAAUUCGCAGGAGCCAGUAGAAACGAUGCAUCUGGUCACAUGGUCAUGAUGUAAGGGAAUUAUAAGAUGUAUGCCCUCUCAGUCGCCGUCAAUCAGUGAAAAACAAUGAAGUAUGAACAGCAGCUAAGGUCUUCAUCCACCUCCAUCUAUCGGAAGAUGCAUAAAAUGACCUCCAGCAUCUCCAGACCGGCAGCAACCUCCAGUGUGUCUGAACCACUGGCUCAUUGGGAUCUGCAGCAACCUCUUACCUGUCAUGACCAGCAGUGGCAGCAGCACUGUGGGAUCCUGUAGAGCACAGACCAGCAUGUUUGAUCGGGACUAGAGGUUACCGUUAUCCAUCUCGCUUUUCGAUUUGUGUAAUGUAGAUAUCCAGCCAGUCUCCAACUCUUGGAAACAUUGAGCUGCGGGUUCUACACUACACAGCGCAGGUUAGUACUGGUCUCUGACAUACACAUCAUCCCAGAACAUAGUGGUGUUACUGCGGACAGAGUGUUGACAUAGUGGGUAAUGAGCUGCCUAUUCUUCCCAGUGAUCUUGUGCAUUUCACUUCACUCAUAAUUUAACAGCUAGCAGAUCAAAGCGCUGAAAUAUUGGUAUAGACACAGCAGGGGACAGUUAAUGGUGUGUUGUGUAAGAGAUUGAAAAUGCAUUGAGAAAUGUCAAACUGUGAUUUACAGAGCUGGAAUGGGAUGAACUGUGUUGCGCAGAACCCUAAAUCUGUUAACAGACGACCUCCGAGGAUGUUCCACCUGAUCCAUGCCCAGACAUUUUCUCUGCUGGCCUGACCCUAUCUAUCUACCAUAGUGUGGCACUCAUGCUGAGAUCUGGAGACUGAUCCAUUUAUCUACAACAUUCCACUUUUACGAACUUGCUUGACCUACAAAUGGUGCUAUUUGUUGUGUUGGAAAGACUGAACUGUGGGCUGCCGUGAGUUCAAACUGUGUAUAAAGACGUGAACUGUCUCCUUACGUAUAGAAUGUAUGUAGACGAUUUAGAACACUAUAUCAACAUAAUGCCAAAAGAAGAGGCUAAAGGAAUAUCAAUCACUUUGACGAUAACACAUGCUGAAUUCUGUCCAUACAGGAAAGCUUUAUUUGCUAUUUUGUAUACUCCUGAAGGUAAAGAAAGAGCC